rnacentral:rRNA from 1 species
UGGGAAAGAAAAGCAGUCGGUUAAUACCCGAUUGUUCUGACGGUCCCAAAGAAUAAGCACCGGCUAACUUCGUGCCAGCAGCCGCGGUAAUACGAAGGGUGCAAGCGUUACUCGGAAUUACUGGGCGUAAAGCGUGCGUAGGUGGUUGUUUAAGUCCGUUGUGAAAGCCCUGGGCUCAACCUGGGAAUUGCAGUGGAUACUGGGCAACUAGAGUGUGGUAGAGGAUGGCGGAAUUCCCGGUGUAGCAGUGAAAUGCGUAGAGAUCGGGAGGAACAUCUGUGGCGAAGGCGGCCAUCUGGACCAACACUGACACUGAGGCACGAAAGCGUGGGGAGCAAACAGGAUUAGAUACCCUGGUAGUCCACGCCCUAAACGAUGCGAACUGGAUGUUGGGUGCAACUUGGCACGCAGUAUCGAAGCUAA